rnacentral:rRNA from 1 species
GUCUACUGCCGUGCCACCCUGAAUAAGCCCAAUCCCAUCUGAUCUCGGAAGCUAAGCAGGGUCAGGCCUGGGUAGUACAUGGAUGGGAGACCACCUAGGAAGACCAGUUGCUGUAGGCA